rnacentral:rRNA from 1 species
GAUGAACGCUGGCGGCGUGCUUAACACAUGCAAGUCGAACGGAAAGGCCCUGCUUUUGUGGGGUGCUCGAGUGGCGAACGGGUGAGUAACACGUGAGUAACCUGCCCUUGACUUUGGGAUAACUUCAGGAAACUGGGGCUAAUACCGGAUAGGAGCUCCUGCUGCAUGGUGGGGGUUGGAAAGUUUCGGCGGUUGGGGAUGGGCUCGCGGCUUAUCAGCUUGUUGGUGGGGUAGUGGCUUACCAAGGCUUUGAAGGGUAGCCGGCCUGAGAGGGUGACCGGCCACAUUGGGACUGAGAUACGGCCCAGACUCCUACGGGAGGCAGCAGUGGGGAAUAUUGCACAAUGGGCGGAAGCCUGAUGCAGCAACGCCGCGUGCGGGAUGACGGCCUUCGGGUUGUAGACCGCUUUCGCCUGUGACGAAGCGUGAGUGACGGUAAUGGGUAAAGAAGCACCGGCUAACUACGUG